ensembl:snoRNA
CAAUUGCAUGCAAGAAUAACCUGGAGAGACUGUAACAGCACAGGUCAACAUAAUACCUGUAGCUGCCACUCAACUUUCC